GGAAUAUUGGACAAUGGAGGCAACUCUGAUCCAGCCAUGCCGCGUGAAGGAAUAAGGCCCUAUGGGUUGUAAACUUCUUUUAGACGGGACAAAACCCCUUUACGUGUAAAGGGUUGAUGGUACUGUCAGAAUAAGCAUCGGCUAACUUCGUGCCAGCAGCCGCGGUAAUACGAAGGAUGCAAGCGUUAUCCGGACUUACUGGGCGUAAAGCGUGCGUAGGUGGUUGUUUAAGUCUGAUGUGAAAGCCCUGGGCUCAACCUGGGAAUGGCAUUGGAAACUGGGCAGCUAGAGUGCGGUAGAGGGGAGUGGAAUUCCUGGUGUAGCAGUGAAAUGCGUAGAGAUCGGGAGGAACAUCUGUGGCGAAGGCGACUGCCUGGACCAGCACUGACACUGAGGCACGAAAGCGUGG
rnacentral:rRNA from 1 species